rnacentral:rRNA from 1 species
CCUUGAGCUCAGGGAUAGCCCUCUGAAAGGAGGAUUAAUACCUGAUGUGGUAGUUGGCUGACAUCAGCUUUCAUUAAAGAUUUAUCGGCUCAUGAUGGGGAUGCGUCUGAUUAGCUUGUUGGCGGGGUAACGGCCCACCAAGGCGACGAUCAGUAGGGGUUCUGAGAGGAAGGUCCCCCACGAUAGGAACUGAGACACGGUCCUAACUCCUACGGGAGGCAGCAGUGAGGAAUAUUGGUCAAUGGUCGAGAGACUGAACCAGCCAAGUAGCGUGAAGGAUGAACCUGCCCUACGGGUUGUAAACUUCUUUUAUGCGGGAAUAAAGUGUGGCACGUGUGCCAUUUUGUAUGUACCGCAUGAAUAAGCAUCGGCUAAUUCCGUGCCAGCAGCUGC